rnacentral:rRNA from 1 species
AAUAGAUACCCCGGUAGUCCACGCCGUAAACGAUGAGUGCUAAGUGUUAGGGGGUUUCCGCCCCUUAGUGCUGCAGCUAACGCAUUAAGCACUCCGCCUGGGGAGUACGGUCGCAAGACUGAAACUCAAAGGAAUUGACGGGGGCCCGCACAAGCGGUGGAGCAUGUGGUUUAAUUCGAAGCAACGCGAAGAACCUUACCAGGUCUUGACAUCCCAUUGACCACUAUGGAGACAUAGUUUUCCCUUCGGGGACAACGGUGACAGGUGGUGCAUGGUUGUCGUCAGCUCGUGUCGCGAGAUGUUGGGUUAAGUCCCGCAACGAGCGCAACCCUUGUUCUUAGUUGCCAUCAUUUAGUUGGGCACUCUAAGGAGACUGCCGGUGACAAACCGGAGGAAGGUGGGGAUGACGUCAAAUCAUCAUGCCCCUUAUGACCUGGGCUACACACGUGCUACAAUGGACGGUACAAACGGUUGCCAACCCGCGAGGGGGAGCUAAUCCGAUAAAACCGUUCUCAGUUCGGAUUGUAGGCUGCAACUCGCCUACAUGAAGACC